CCUACGGGAGGCUGCAGUGAGGAAUAUUGGUCAAUGGACGAGAGUCUGAACCAGCCAAGUAGCGUGAAGGAUGACUGCCCUAUGGGUUGUAAACUUCUUUUAUAAAGGAAUAAAACGAGGCACGUGUGCCUCUUUGCAUGUACUUUAUGAAUAAGGAUCGGCUAACUCCGUGCCAGCAGCCGCGGUAAUACGGAGGAUCCGAGCGUUAUCCGGAUUUAUUGGGUUUAAAGGGAGCGUAGAUGGGUUGUUAAGUCAGUUGUGAAAGUUUGCGGCUCAACCGUAAAAUUGCAAUUGGUACUGGCAGUCUUGAGUACAGUUGAGGUAGGCGGAAUUCGUGGUGUAGCGGUGAAAUGCUUAGAUAUCACGAAGAACCCAGAUUGCGAAGGCAGCUUACUAAACUGUGACUGACAUUGAUGCUCGAAAGUGUGGGUAUCAAACAGGAUUAGAUACCCUUGUAGUC
rnacentral:rRNA from 1 species